AGAGAUAAGGCUGUUAAGCAAUUCAGUUACAUUGAAUAGGGUAUUUAUGAAAUAUAUCUUUA
rnacentral:tRNA from 1 species